CGGCAUUCCCCUAGUAGCGGCGAGCGAGCGGGAAGAGCUCAAAUUUAUAAUCUGGCACCUUCGGUGUCCGAGUUGUAAUCUCUAGAAAUGUUUUCCGCGUUGGACCGCACACAAGUCUGUUGGAAUACAGCGGCAUAGUGGUGAGACCCCCGUAUAUGGUGCGGACGCCCAGCGCUUUGUGAUACAUUUUCGAAGAGUCGAGUUGUUUGGGAAUGCAGCUCAAAUUGGGUGGUAAAUUCCAUCUAAAGCUAAAUAUUGGCGAGAGACCGAUAGCGAACAAGUACCGUGAGGGAAAGAUGAAAAGCACUUUGGAAAGAGAGUUAACAGUACGUGAAAUUGUUGGAAGGGAAACGCUUGAAGUCAGACUUGCUUGCUGAGCAAUCGGUUUGCAGGCCAGCAUCAGUUUUCCGGGAUGGAUAAUGGUAGAGAGAAGGUAGCAGUUUCGGCUGUGUUAUAGCUCUCUGCUGGAUACAUCUUGGGGGACUGAGGAACGCAGUGUGCCUUUGGCGGGGGUUUCGACCUCUUCACACUUAGGAUGCUGGUGGAAUGGCUUUAAACGACCCGUCUUAACAC
rnacentral:rRNA from 1 species